AUCAACCUUAAGUAUCCCUUCUGCUUCAUCAAUCUGAAGCAACUCCAGUUGGGUCUGCAAGAGCGUUGCAGGCAUGAAAUGCUUUCCCUCAGCUGCUCUCUUGACCAGCCGAGCGGCAAGCACUUCAGCCCCAACGUCCAACAACACGAAUUUAACAAUACUCGCAUAAGAACCUGGUUCAUAAUUUGGGUCUGCAGAUCUAAGGAUUUCCCUGUACCGCUUUUG
rnacentral:misc_RNA from 1 species